rnacentral:lncRNA from 1 species
UCUGCUGUUGUAUUUCUAUGAAGAAAACAAUUUUUAUAUAGAAUUUUUACAUCAUAAAAACUUAAAAAUAGAAUUUGGUGCAAGUAAUUGCGGACAUUUUCUUGACAUAUCACUAUUAUUUGCUUUUACCAAAAUAUCAUUGGUUUUUAAUGGUUUAAAUUGCGAGUGUACCAAAAAAACAUUGUGACAUCCAAUCACAAUAAUUUUCUCUAAUUUUUUUUCCCAUGUUCCUUUUAUUUCACUGUUGAAGUUGCAAAGAAGUAUCAUAUUACAAAAAUAGAGAAACCGGGAGAAUCUUUCCCUCGUGGGUUCAAGCAAUAGAAGCCAUUAGCCAUUGAUAAUUUGUUCAGAAGGACAAAAAUGAGUCACCUCAUAUGCCCACGUCUAUUCCUACGAAAACUAGUAAUCCGGUAUGUACCACACAAACCCUUAAUAAUUUAUUCAACAAAUUGACGACUCAUAUGUUUUUGCCCCCACCAAAUAAACCCAGGUAAUUACGAGAAAACACCCCAAUGUUGGAAAAGAAAGAAAAAAAGAAGAAAGCAAAGUACUAAUUUGACAAAUACAAGAAAAAUGAUUAGGCACUUGAUAUGGUGUGAUACAAGGAAUGGGAAUGGGAAUGAGGUGA